GAUGAACGCUGGCGGCGUGCCUAAUACAUGCAAGUCGAGCGAACAGAUAAGGAGCUUGCUCCUUUGACGUUAGCGGCGGACGGGUGAGUAACACGUGGAUAACCUACCUAUAAGACUGGGAUAACUUCGGGAAACCGGAGCUAAUACCGGAUAACAUAUUGAACCGCAUGGUUCAAUAGUGAAAGGCGGCUUUGCUGUCACUUAUAGAUGGAUCCGCGCCGUAUUAGCUAGUUGGUAAGGUAACGGCUUACCAAGGCAACGAUACGUAGCCGACCUGAGAGGGUGAUCGGCCACACUGGAAUUGAGACACGGUCCAGACUCCUACGGGAGGCAGCAGUAGGGAAUCUUCCGCAAUGGGCGAAAGCCUGACGGAGCAACGCCGCGUGAGUGAUGAAGGUCUUCGGAUCGUAAAACUCUGUUAUCAGGGAAGAACAAAUGUGUAAGUAACUGUGCACAUCUUGACGGUACCUGAUCAGAAAGCCACGGCUAACUACGUG
rnacentral:rRNA from 1 species